AACGCAUCUUGCGCUCCUUGGUAUUCCAUGGAGCAUGCCUGUUUGAGUGUCACGUAAACCCUCACCCUUGCGAUGUCAAAGUCGCUCGUGGUGGAUUUGGACUGUGCCGUCAUUGGCUCGUCCUGAAAUGCAUUAGCUUGUGCUCGUUAGAGUGCUCGGCAUGGUGUGAUAAUUAUCUGCGCCGUCGCCUUAGGCCUCUUCUGUGUGCGCUGCUUCCAAUCGUCCCCAGCGGACAACUCAUUAAGCUUUGGCCUCAAAUCAGGUAGGACUACCCGCUGAACUUAA
rnacentral:misc_RNA from 1 species